GAUGAACGCUGGCGGCGUGCCUAAUACAUGCAAGUCGAGCGAACGGACGAGAAGCUUGCUUCUCUGAUGUUAGCGGCGGACGGGUGAGUAACACGUGGAUAACCUACCUAUAAGACUGGGAUAACUUCGGGAAACCGGAGCUAAUACCGGAUAAUAUUUUAAACCGCAUGGUUCAAAAGUGAAAGACGGUCUUGCUGUCACUUAUAGAUGGAUCCGCGCUGCAUUAGCUAGUUGGUAAGGUAACGGCUUACCAAGGCAACGAUGCAUAGCCGACCUGAGAGGGUGAACGACCACACUGGAACUGAGACACGGUCCAGACUCCGGCGGUAGGCAGCAGUAGGGAAUCUUCCGCAAUGGGCGAAAGCCUGACGGAGCAACGCCGCGUGAGUGAUGAAGGUCUUCGGAUCGUAGAACUCUGUUAUUAGGGAAGAACAUAUGUGUAAGUAACUGUGCACAUCUUGACGGUACCUAAUCAGAAAGCCACGGCUAACUACGUG
rnacentral:rRNA from 1 species